rnacentral:rRNA from 1 species
GUGACAUGUUAGGACUCUAAUGAGUUUAAGACCUAAUGAGCCUCUUAAGUGAGGCCGCCAGCAACCUUUUUUUUCUCUACAUUUUAAAAAAAAAACUAAAAUUCUAUCCUUAUCGGUGGAUCACUAGGCUCGGGGAUCGAUGAAGAACGCACCAAACUGCGAUAAUUAUUGCGAACUGCAGAAGUAUUGAGCACAAAAGUUUUGAACGCAAAUGGCCGCAUUGAGGUCAAACUCUUUGCAACGUCUGGUUCAGGGUCAUU